rnacentral:lncRNA from 1 species
AUUAAUUUGUUUUCUGAAAUUUUUUCUCAGCUCAUUCAUAGAGGAUCUAUUAUUUUAUAUGAAAAACCACAAUAGAUGGAAUGUUUGAUUAAUUGUGAAUAUAAAUCUUAAUGCGGCGGACCUGGUCUCCUGCCCCAAUAUUGAGAGGUUUUUGUCCACUGAGGGCAGGAUAUCAAUUUCUCUUAAUAUAGUCUUAGGCGGGGGGCUCGUGUUGACCUCCAACUAAAAGUGCAUGAAAAGUGACUUACCCUCCAUGAACAGGAAGUACGAUGUAUAUGUUAAAAGAAACUGCACUUCAUCAAUAGGGAUCUAUCUAAAUGAACUUUUGUCGUGUUUUCAUGUUAUAAACUUUUUGUAAAUCUGCAGAAUCAAAGCGCACAGGCACGAGUCACCAAUAUUGAUAGUGUUGAGAUUCUCGAUGCGAUCAUGACAAGAAGUCGUGGUGAGAUACGACAAGCAAGCAGCCCAAAAGUAACAAUUUCCACUCAAUCGCCGCACAAGGAAAUGAAGUCUGUUUAUAGCCCGCCUUUGUCUCAAAGGGAAUACAGCCCUCGACAAGCAUGCAGCCCAAAAGUAACAAUUUCCACCCAAUCGCCACACGAGGAAAUGAAGUCUGUUUAUAGCCCACCUUUGUCUCAAAGGGAAUACAGCCCUCGACUGAAGGAAAUGAGGACCCAAAGAAACACUAUAUCUGGUGGAAAAGGACUAGAAAUAAAGCAAACUCCUAGUUCUCAGCCAUCUUUACAUAGCCAAGGCAGUCGUGGUUCACCUCGAC